GACGAACGCUGGCGGCGUGCUUAACACAUGCAAGUCGAACGCUGAAGCUCAGCUUUUGUUGGGUGGAUGAGUGGCGAACGGGUGAGUAACACGUGAGUAACCUGCCUCCUUCUUUGGGAUAACGCCCGGAAACGGGUGCUAAUACUGGAUAUUCACUGGUCUUCGCAUGGGGGUUGGUGGAAAGGGUUUUUCUGGUGGGGGAUGGGCUCGCGGCCUAUCAGCUUGUUGGUGGGGUAAUGGCCUACCAAGGCUUUGACGGGUAGCCGGCCUGAGAGGGUGACCGGUCACAUUGGGACUGAGAUACGGCCCAGACUCCUACGGGAGGCAGCAGUGGGGAAUAUUGCACAAUGGGCGAAAGCCUGAUGCAGCGACGCCGCGUGAGGGAUGGAGGCCUUCGGGUUGUGAACCUCUUUCGCUAAUGGUCAAGCCGCAACAAUGGUUGUGGUGAGGGUAGUGGGUAAAGAAGCGCCGGCUAACUACGUG
rnacentral:rRNA from 1 species